rnacentral:rRNA from 1 species
AUGGAUUCCUCCCCGGCCGCCGCCGCGCCGACCGAGGCUUCGGCCCCGCCGCUCGAAGACUGCCUCCGCCUCCUCCGCGGCGAGCGCGACGAGCAGAAGCUGGCGGGCCUCCUCAUCGCCGCCAACGUCUGCCGCGCCGGCGACGCCGCCGCCGUCGCCCAGGUCUACCGCGCCGUCGGGCCCCGGUUCCUCCGCCGCCUCCUGAACACCGGGCUGGGGAAGGUGGAGGGCGGGAAGGAGGAGGAGCGGGAGGCGUACCUGCGGCUCGCCGUGACCGUGCUUGCCGGGCUCGCGCGCGCCCCGGAGGUUGCGGCCGACGCCGGGGUCGUCUCCACCGUGCCCAUCAUCGCCGAGGUUGUUUCCAAAUCGCCUGAUCUGACAAUCACUGAAGAAUGUUUCGAACUUCUAUCGCUGGUUGCCAUAGCCUCUAAAGAUGGGACAUAUAAGUUUUGUGAGCCUGGAGUUAUGGACAUGCUUUUCAGUCAAAUCUCCAACUUUCCAGAUGGUUCAAGGUGCUUAGAGCUUUCCACUCAUCUAUUGCAGUUACUUGUUCAUAAACUCAGAGCAGACAACAUGAGUGUGGAGAACUUGCAAGGCAUGGCAAGCAUGGUGACUUCUCUUGCUAUGCUUUUUGGUGUACUUCAUACGGCAGUUAAAUUUGAAUCGCUGCACAUGCUUGCGACACUCCUUUCCCAAAAGGAAUCUCCACUUCAUGAUGCUUUGAGGUCAAUGCCAUCCACAAUCUGGAAAUCCCAUAUCCGUGGUGGGAUUAUAGACGUUCUCCAAAACCGUGUUGUAUCCUCCGAAAAGCUACAAGCUCUUCUUUUGGCGGAAUGCAUGAUGUCCAUACUAGGCGAGAAUUGGUUGUCAGAAGAUCAUAAAAUCCUCGAUAACAAGAAUGCGAUCUCCGUUGACAAAUUUGUCCUGCUAGUCCUACAAUCUGCAAGAGUUGAAGUUGCGGUCCUUCUAAACGAACUUGCUUUUUCGAAAUACGAGUCAUCAAAAAGUUCUCAGACAGAUGAUGCCAUCAUCCAGAAACAGAGAAACCUGGCUAUAUUGUUUUCACUGAUAGAAAGAAUAAUCAAAAUGAUAUCAGAUGCCAGUAGUGGUGAAGGUGAACCAAGUCAGACCAUCUGUGAAAAGACCAUAAUGCAGGUAAUUACGGGAUUAAAUGAGACAAUCAGUUUAGUGUUGGACUUCCUGCAGGAUGCAAAGGAUCAUGGGCAAAGGAAAGGUGAUGAUCUUUUGGCAGCUGUGAGAAUAGUAGGAAGCUAUCUGGCAGAGACACCAUAUGCCUGCCAGGAGAAGACUGGUCAUCUACUGGAAUUUAUCUUUUCUAUCGAAGGUCAAGAUGAAUCAAGCCCCUUCUAUUCUGUUCGCUUCAUGCUUCCAAUGCUAUCACAAAUAACGACGACAGCUGAUGGAUGUAGAACGUUGGUGUCAUUUGGAGGCUAUAAAGCAGUUAUAGACUGCCUCAUUAAAAUGACGGAGGAGAAUGGAAUGAUGAUCGAUGAUGGUAGCAUGUUUUUGGCAUGUGAUACUAUCAUAAACAUUAUGUCAAAUAGGAAGAAUUAUCCUAUUCAAAUGGAGCCUUGUUUCAUCCGCCUCUUGCAAGCACUUAUUACAUGGGCUGGAACAACAGAUGCUUCAUCAGUCAUCAUGACAGCCUCCAGCUUAUGCACGAUGGUGAUGGAGUUGACAUCUGAAGAGUUCCUCUUGAGCUUCUCUGGUUUUGACCCCAAGACCCUUGGGAGUUUAUCUGACCUCAUUGUCAGAAGCUUGCGUCAGGAUAUCCCUGACGAAGAUAGAGAACAGCUUAACCAAAAGCAAAUCAUUGCAUCAGGUUAUAGGCGCUGGGCUGAUCGAUUUCCGAGUGUUAGAAAUGUUGUGCAUCAGCAUGCAUCUGUCUGA